rnacentral:lncRNA from 1 species
CCUCCCCAAACCACUGGAGUCAAAGAAGUCUUCUGUGAGGAAGAGAUCCAAGAAGUUCAGUGUACCUCAAGCAAGAGGAAUAUAAAGAAAAACAUACCUAAUCACUUCAAAAUCAAAGAAGAUGAGAACCCACAACUUAAACAGGAGCAGGGGAGGAAGGGAGGAGGUGUCCCCUCUGAUCCCAUAAGGAGCAUUUCGAGCACACUUACCGACAGCUCAGAUUCUUGCAUUAAUGUGCCUUCACAAAUAAUCUCACUGAACAUCAAGCUGGGAAAUGAACACUGGCAGAGUCCUGGUAAAUUCUCUUAAACUGGCCCCCGGCGGGAGCAAAACAU